UCUAUUAUACUGGAAUGAACACUUUUCCUUUUUUGUAUAGAUUUGCAAAAUUAAAACCAAGCUCAUGGCUUGAUACGCUGAAGAAAUGCUUGGCUGAAUCUCAACGUGUUCUUAAAGCAUUGGGGAUGGAUUAUUUAGAGAAGGCUGCUGAUUAUGAUGCUUUAAAAUGCUUCAGAAAAGCUUAGGGCCUUAAAUCUGCUAUGCAUUCAUGUUCUUGGAACGAAAAAGCUAAGAAAUUGGAUAGAAGACCAAAACAAACAAUUUGAGCAGAAGACAAAGGAAGCUAAAUCAAAGGUUUUUGAUGCUACAGGCAAGACUUCGCAGCUGAAAAUUAAAGGUGACAUUGCCAAAGCAAUUGAUGCUAGGGGUGGGGAGCGGGAAGCUCGUGCAAAGCUGCUCGAGUCAAAGGCGAUGCUGAUGCAAAGCUGCAUUAAUUAUUCUAUGCAGCAUAUUAGUUCUAACCGUUUUCUGUAUGUAGGCGGCACCUCUGGCCGUGUCUGAUGCAGCUAUGCUAGCUCCUGAAGAAGUAUUUUCUGGUAAAGGUGACAUCAAAGAAGAAACUGAGCUAACAAAGGCAGAUAGAAAGAGGAGAAGGGCAAAGAAAAAAAAGACGCCUUAAAGCUGAGUCUGUCAAACGGAUGGCAGUAAAGACACAGCUAAGCACAUUGAAGAAACCCGAAGAUGUUGCAGGGAACGGGGAGUCAUGAAUGACACUUUGAAAGAAAUGUUUUCUUGCCUUUGCCGUCUAAUGUGAUUCAUGAUGUUGAGCUUGUGUGUCGGGUUCUCUCCUAAGUUAGUUGCUGCAAAUUCAUCAUAGCAGGUCAACUAGUUCAUGAGGACUUGGUGCUAGAACACAUAAUAUGAUAGAUUUUUGUUUUAGCUAUAAGAUAGUUGGUACUUUCAAUUUUGAAUCGAAAUAUGCAAUGAUCAUAUGUACUUGAUACUUGGUUCAUUUGGAUGGUAAUGUAUGAAUAUUUUGGAUGAUAUAUAAUAUUGUUAUUGGUGAUUUUAU